rnacentral:rRNA from 1 species
UACGUAGGGGGCAAGCGUUGUCCGGAAUCAUUGGGCGUAAAGCGCGUGUAGGCGGUCCGGUAAGUCCGCUGUGAAAGUCGGGGGCUCAACCCUCGGAUGCCGGUGGAUACUGUCGGGCUUGAGUACGGAAGAGGCGAGUGGAAUCCCUGGUGUAGCGGUGAAAUGCGCAGAUAUCAGGAGGAACACCAAUUGCGAAGGCAGCUCGCUGGGACGUUACUGACGCUGAGACGCGAAAGCGUGGGGAGCAAACAGG